rnacentral:sRNA from 1 species
UGGAUUAUACCUUUGAUUUAAGUCCUUUAACUAAAGAAUAUAUACAGUAUCGGUGCAGGCUUCCACACGCUAUCCUCCAAUGUGCCUCAGCCCUGACAUGGGAUGACCAUCUCUAAAAGUGAAGAGGGCAUUUUGGUCUCCACGCAGUUCAGUUCUUGGCUUCU